rnacentral:tRNA from 1 species
GCGACAGUAGCUCAGUUGGUAGAGCACUAGCUUCCCAAGCUGGGGGUCGCGGGUUCGAGUCCCGUCUGUCGCU